rnacentral:tRNA from 1 species
GGGCGAUUGGCGCAGCGGUAGCGCAGCUGCUUUACACGCAGAAGGUCGGCGGUUCAAAUCCGUCAUCGCCCACCA